ACUGUAAAAUAUAUUUAUUAUAUUUAUAUUAUUUCAAUGGUAAAUGAGGAUGUAUGUACACGCCCCGAUAUAUAAUAUUGUGGACGGUGGAUGGUGAUAGUAGUGACACGCACGCAUAACCUGGAUGGCUGAAGAACCCCAAUUCCAGAUACUACUGAGGGAUAUGGACCUUU